rnacentral:rRNA from 1 species
UACGAAGGGGGCUAGCGUUGCUCGGAAUCACUGGGCGUAAAGCGCACGUAGGCGGACUCUUAAGUCGGUGGUGAAAUCCUGGAGCUCAACUCCAGAACUGCCUCCGAUACUGCGAGUCUCCGAGUCCGGAAGAGGUGAGUGGAACUGCGAGUGUAGAGGUGAAAUUCGUAGAUAUUCGCAAGAACACCAGUGGCGAAGGCGGCUCACUGGCCCGGUACUGACGCUGAGGUGCGAAAGCGUGGGGAGCAAACAGG